GUGAGGAAUAUUGCGCAAUGGACGAAAGUCUGACGCAGCCAUGCCGCGUGAAGGAUUGACGGCCCUAUGGGUUGUAAACUUCUUUUGUAUAGGAAUAAACCCUCGUUCGUGAACGAGGCUGAAGGUACUAUAAGAAUAAGCACCGGCUAACUCCGUGCCAGCAGCCGCGGUAAUACGGAGGGUGCAAGCGUUAUCCGGAUUUAUUGGGUUUAAAGGGUCCGUAGGCGGAUCGUUAAGUCAGUGGCGAAAUCCUACCGCUCAACGGUAGAACUGCCAUUGAUACUGGCGAUCUUGAGUAUGUAUGAAGUUGGCGGAAUGUGUGGUGUAGCGGUGAAAUGCUUAGAUAUCACACAGAACACCGAUUGCGAAGGCAGCUGACUAAUACACAACUGACGCUGAGGGACGAAAGUGUGGGGAUCAAACAGGAUUAGAAACCCGGGUAGUCC
rnacentral:rRNA from 1 species